rnacentral:misc_RNA from 1 species
CGGGAGGGUCGCGAUUAGGGUUGCGACGACGACUACGCCCGGCGUGUAGUAGCGAGAGAAACGAUCGAUGAAUCGCUCAGUCGGUGCUUUUGAUUCCUGAGCUUNNNNNNNNNNNGCGAUCGUGUUGUCAGCGGCUGCAGCGGUGACCCGAACACUGAGCAGCCCAUCGCCGUUGAUCGUGCCGGCGAACAGACUUUGCUGCGGCCCCUUUCGGAUAGGCA